UGAACCUUUGCGUAGUCACGCAUAUAUUCUCGAAAAAGAAAGUAAACAAAGAGAAUCCGUCGAUGGCUUUUAGGGCAUUUUGAAAUGUUUACGUCUAAUUAUGUUGGCUUGUCGAUUAAGAAGUGCUGCUGAGUAGUUGGUUCAGAAUAGUGAGUGUUUUUAUUUCGUUUUGUUAUACUUAAUCUGACAUAAAUGAAAGAACGUAGUCGAUUUUGAAAUUCAUUUGUGGAUUUAAUGUUAUCACCAUGUUAAAUCAACUAGAUUAAAAAUAGUGUUGUGUAGCAUUUUAAUUUCUUCAUCGAAGUUCACUUUUUAAAAUCGACCUUGGUUCGCGUUGAAUGCAUUUGAUAGAGAUUAUUGCAUAUGUAAGUGCAAUGUUACUACGUAUUUGGGAAGUUCCACAUCUCAAUGUAAUUUUAAAUCGCUGACAAGACAGCUCAUCCAACUUCGUUCAAGGACAUGCGUUAACGGACCAUGAAAUAUAUAUCCGCCUCGGGAUCUCACUUCUCUUUCGCAAAUAUCAUGAGGUGCUCCCUUACCGAAUGGAAUACUAGUAAAGCUUGAAUCCUCAAAGAAAAGUAGUUGGCAAUUAUCUGUUAUUCGUAUGACCACCAU